GACGAACGCUGGCGGCGUGCUUAACACAUGCAAGUCGAACGGAAAGGCCCUGCUUUUGCGGGGUGCUCGAGUGGCGAACGGGUGAGUAACACGUGAGUAACCUGCCCUUGACUUUGGGAUAACUUCAGGAAACUGGGGCUAAUACCGGAUAGGAGCUCCUGCUGCAUGGUGGGGGUUGGAAAGUUUCGGCGGUUGGGGAUGGACUCGCGGCUUAUCAGCUUGUUGGUGGGGUAGUGGCUUACCAAGGCUUUGACGGGUAGCCGGCCUGAGAGGGUGACCGGCCACAUUGGGCCUGCGAUACGGCCCAGACUCCUACGGGAGGCAGCAGUGGGGAAUAUUGCACAAUGGGCGGAAGCCUGAUGCAGCAACGCCGCGUGCGGGAUGCCGGCCUUCGGGUUGUAAACCGCUUUCGCCUGUGACGAAGCGUGAGUGACGGUAAUGGGUAAAGAAGCACCGGCUAACUACGUG
rnacentral:rRNA from 1 species